AGGCGACACGUCACAGUGGUCAGGUGACACUUCUGAUGAAGACUGCAGCUGACAGUCAAGUUAUGUCAUGGUGGUGCAUGGUCGUGACCCCGGGAUGCAGAGAUAGAGUCGAAGUGCAGGCAGUACUCCUGCAGCUGGGCGAUGUAUGGAACACAGAAGGAUCAUGAAAUAGUGCACGAGAAGAGGCGAGACUUGCGGCAAGACAACUUGUGGCUGCUCAUAAUGCCCUGAGUAUCCAACAGAACAUCACAGUGCGGGAGCAACCUCCCUACUCAUCCAACCUGGCUCUGUGUGAUUUUGUUCCCUCUUUUCCAAAGCUCAAGACGGUCAUCAAGGAGACCCAUUUUCAAGACGUGGAUGACAUCAAGAUGGCCUUGACAACGAAGCGGCAAAGGAUCCCGGAAGAAUCCUCGCAGGAGUGCAUGAAGGCACUGCAGAGAAGGCUGGG